rnacentral:rRNA from 1 species
GACGAACGCUGGCGGUGUGCUUAACACAUGCAAGUCGAACGGUAAGGCCCUUUCGGGGGUCCACGAGUGGCGAACGGGUGAGUAACACGUGAGUAACCUGCCCUCAUCUCUGGGAUAACAGUCGGAAACGGUUGCUAAUACUGGAUAUGAGCUUGCAAGGCAUCUUGUGGGUUGGAAAGAUUUUUUUUGGUUGGGGAUGGACUCGCGGCCUAUCAGCUUGUUGGUGAGGUAGUGGCUCACCAAGGCUUCGACGGGUAGCCGGCCUGAGAGGGCGACCGGCCACAUUGGGACUGAGAUACGGCCCAAACUCCGACGGGAGGCAGCAGUGGGGAAUAUUGCACAAUGGACGGAAGUCUGAUGCAGCAACGCCGCGUGCGGGAUGACGGCCUUCGGGUUGUAAACCGCUUUCAAUUGUGACGAAGCUUUUUUGUGACGGUAGCAGUAGAAGAAGCACCGGCUAACUACGUG